AUGUCAUUGUGUAAACAAAACAAACUUAUCAUUGAUAUUUUUUACAUUUCAAGUUCAAUAAAUAUCAUGAAUGCAGCUAGUUCGUCGUACUCUGUCCUAAUCCUACAACAUCAAUUGUGAUAUCGGUUAUCUAUAUGCAGUUUGCAGUGCUGUAGGGGUAAAAAUAUUAGUCAUCUGAGGUACUUAGCUGUGUAUCACAGCACAGCAUAUACCCACACCUACCUAUGAAUAUGUUUUAGGUAUGAUAACAUUCAGAAAAAUGUUGCUCGUGAGCUCUAAGCAAAAGAUAACGGCUAAUCAGAGGAAUAUACAAAGCAGUGUUUCAAAAAAGUCCCUCUCUAGGCCCCGGCGAGAUUCGAACUCGCGAUCUCCUGUUUACUAGACAGGCGCUUUAACCAACUAAGCCACGGCGCCUACAGUGAUGCUACUGAAUUUCAAGUCUGGCGCCACUUCGGCGGGAGGUCGUCUUCACACACCCUCUGCCGGGGGCAGUUAUUUUGGCUCACAGCCAAAUACGAUCGUAUUAGUAGGUAACAUAAAACAUAGGCAACGUUUUGUUUUUAUUCCUUCUUCACGUGGUCGAGGAGAAAUAUGAUCUAAACAAGAUAUUAUGAAAAACAAGGCAAACGUAAGAAUGUGCACUUACAUGAAACGGAUAUGUUUUAUAAUUAUUCAACCGGAAUAUUCAAUAAACAUCCUAAAAUAA